rnacentral:rRNA from 1 species
GGAAGCAGGGGAUCGUAAGACCUUGUGCUUUUGGAGUGGCCGAUGCCUGAUUAGCUAGUUGGUAGGGUAAUGGCCUACCAAGGCGACGAUCAGUAGUUGGUCUGAGAGGACGACCAGCCACACUGGGACUGAGACACGGCCCAGACUCCUACGGGAGGCAGCAGUGGGGAAUUUUGGACAAUGGGCGCAAGCCUGAUCCAGCAAUGCCGCGUGAGUGAAGAAGGCCUUCGGGUUGUAAAGCUCCUUCAGUCGAGAAGAAAAGGUUGUGACUAAUAAUUGCAACUCAUGACGGUAUCGACAGAAGAAGCACCGGCUAACUACGUGCCAGCAGCCGCGGUAAUACGUAGGGUGCGAGCGUUAAUCGGAAUUACUGGGCGUAAAGGGUGCGCAGGCGGCUUUGUAAGUCAGAUGUGAAAUCCCCGGGCUUAACCUGGGAAUUGCGUUUGAAACUACAAGGCUAGA